GGGGGUGAUCGGUUUCGACUCUGGUGAUCGAGACGAGAGAAGCGAGCCGUGGUCGCCGGAUCCACGCAAAAGAGCCGGCAACACCAACACAAAUGCCGACGACAACGUCGCACUCGCUGCCUAACUAGCAGCGACGUCUCCCCACCCUCGGCCCUGCGGGGUGGGAUCGGGCGCCAUCAAGUGGGGCUCACCUCCGAGGGUGCGUCAACCGCCCAUGGAGGGACACCUCAGUUGACCACGGUGGUCGUACAGCGCUGGCGCUGAGCGACCACC
rnacentral:tmRNA from 1 species